GAUGAACGCUGGCGGCGCGCCUAACACAUGCAAGUCGAACGGUUAAAGCACCUUUUAGGUGUGUAUAAAGUGGCGAACGGCUGAGUAACACGUGGGCAACCUGCCCUCCUCUUGGGGAUAGCCUCGGGAAACCGAGGAUAAUACCCGAUACUUCAAUGUGGCCGCAUGACGACAUUGAGAAAGCUUUUGCGGAGAAGGAUGGGCCCGCGGCCUGUUAGCUUGUUGGUGGGGUAGAGGCCUACCAAGGCAAUGAUGGGUAGCUGGGUUGAGAGACCGACCAGCCAGAUUGGGACUGAGACACGGCCCAGACUCCUACGGGAGGCAGCAGUGGGGAAUCUUGCACAAUGGGCGAAAGCCUGAUGCAGCGACGCCGCGUGCGGGAAGAAGGCCUUCGGGUUGUAAACCGCUUUCAGCAGGGACGAGGCGAAAGUGACGGUACCUGCAGAAGAAGCCCCGGCUAACUACGUGCCAGCAGCCGCGGUAAUACGUAGGGGGCAAGCGUUAUCCGGAUUCAUUGGGCGUAAAGCGCUCGUAGGCGGUCUGUUAGGUCGGGAGUUAAAUCCGGAGGCUCAACCUCCGCCCGCUCCCGAUACCGGCAGACUUGAGUUUGGUAGGGGAAGGUGGAAUUCCUAGUGUAGCGGUGGAAUGCGCAGAUAUUAGGAAGAACACCAGUGGCGAAGGCGGCCUUCUGGGCCAUAACUGACGCUGAGGAGCGAAAGCUGGGGGAGCAAACAGG
rnacentral:rRNA from 1 species